rnacentral:misc_RNA from 1 species
AAAAGCUCCGGCCAUAUAUAAGCUCGAAUACAGAAAAAGUAAUCAUUAGUUAUUUCAAAGUGUAUCUCAACCAUGGAAGAUUCUCUUAUCACAAGAGAGAAUACCCAGAAAGCGCUUAUUACAGUAUGAUCCACCACCUUUUACAAACUCGCUCCAGAUUAAAAUCCAGAGAUGAAAGCUAACAGAAUGUGCAAAAAAAAAAAAAAGAGCAUAUAU